rnacentral:misc_RNA from 1 species
UUUCCGUAGGUGAACCUGCGGAAGGAUCAUUAUUGUAUAACCGAGGUGCGAGGGCUGUCGAUGACCCGAAAGGUCGUGCACGCCCGAGUGCCCUCACACACAUCCAUCUCACCCCUAUGUGCACCACCGCGUGGGUCCCCCUUUGGCUUGUUCGGAGGGGGGCUUACGUUUUCACACAAACUUUGUAUGCAGUGUAGAAUGUAUUUUUUGUUUUUGCGAUCACGCAAUCAAUACAACUUUCAACAACGGAUCUCUUGGCUCUC